rnacentral:tRNA from 1 species
UGUAAAAUAAGCUAAAUAUUAAGCUUUUGGGUUCAUACCCCAAAUAUGAAUAGAUUAUUCUUUUACAA